GCCCGUUUGGCUUAGUGGUACAGCGUCUCACUCGUACCUUCUGAAUGCGUAAUGAGAAGAUCCUCGGUUCGAUUCCGAGAAUGGGCA